rnacentral:rRNA from 1 species
UACGGAGGGGGCUAGCGUUGUUCGGAAUUACUGGGCGUAAAGCGCACGUAGGCGGCUUUGUAAGUUAGAGGUGAAAGCCCGGAGCUCAACUCCGGAACUGCCUUUAAGACUGCAUCGCUAGAAUCAUGGAGAGGUCAGUGGAAUUCCGAGUGUAGAGGUGAAGUUCGUAGAUAUUCGGAAGAACACCAGUGGCGAAGGCGACUGACUGGACAUGUAUUGACGCUGAUGUGCGAAAGCGUGGGGAGCAAACAGG